UACAGAGGUCCCGAGCGUUGUUCGGAUUCACUGGGCGUAAAGGGUGCGUAGGUGGCGGGGUAAGUUUGAUGUGAAAGCUCCGAGCUUAACUCGGAAAAUGCAUUGAAUACUAUUUCGCUAGAGGGUUGUAGGGGGGACUGGAAUUCUCGGUGUAGCAGUGAAAUGCGUAGAUAUCGAGAGGAACACCAGUGGCGAAGGCGAGUCCCUGGACAACUCCUGACACUGAGGCACGAAAGCUAGGGGAGCAAACAGG
rnacentral:rRNA from 1 species